UCAAGGGUUUUCUGGUUUCCUCUUUGUGUUGCAUCAUUUACUUCUUCUUCGUAUUGUAAUCUCUGUAAGAUCUUUUAGUAAGAUGUUUGUUGUUUUAUUUAGUGUACAAAAGAGAGAAGGAGAUCAUUUUGUUGUAAUCUUUAGAGAAGCGAGACAAAAUCUAAGUGAAGAAAUCUUUGAUUUUCUUCAUACAUUUGAUCUGUACUAUUCUUGAUGAUUUUAGUGGAUUCAAGCAAAAUCUACUUGGUAGAUGCUCAAUGUGGUGAGUAGGCAUUUUGCUGAACAUUUGGGCUUAAGGGGUGAAAAAUCUUAGCGUUCUUCCAAUUUUUUGCAAAUUUUACUUUACUGCAAACGUUUCAAUAUACAAACUUUAAUUCUAAAAACAACAGACAACACUGAGAAUCUAAAACACUUUGGUUUGCCCUGAUCUUUCUCUCUGAGAUGAUCUUUAUUUGUACUUUUGUGUAUUGAAUACAUGUGCCUAUUAGGUGGUUUAGUUUAUUGGUUUGAUAUUUUUGUGCUUUUUCCUAAACUUCUCAAAUCCUUUAGGUUUACUAAAAAAUGUAUUUUUUCCCAACUUUUUAGCCUUCUUGAUCAUUCAUAGUUCACAGCUUUUGCUGAAGAGUAAAGAUACAGUAAAUCGAGGAUCUUUGUGAUUCUCGUGAGAAAUCUGGAGGAAAACUCUGGAUAAGGAAUUGUUUAUUGGGAA
rnacentral:lncRNA from 1 species